UUGUACUCUCCCCUAUCUAUGCACCGUUUCUCGACAAUUAUCGACCCAUCCGGACGCCAAUCGAUAUUGAUUGCCAAGAAUUCCGGUUGAAUGGAAUUAAUAGAAACUAGUACUUUGUAAUAGAAACGAAAAAUAUCGUUUCUCGUUUGUGAAAAAAUUCUUUCGCUUAUAUUUCCUAAGAAGAUACACGUUUUACAACUUGUCAUUCUUUCUUUCCAGUUUGGAUGACCACUAGGAUUUCGUGGUUUGACUCGAAUAAACAUUUUUGUACGUGAAUGUGUGUUUCAUAAUAUAAUUACAGUACGUUUUGUUGCAUAUUUUUGACACUAUGAUUGUCAAAUAAAUAGAAAAGACACGAAUGAAAAAAAGAAUUUUGUAAAAGUCGAGGACUUGGAAAAUUAUAAUGGGCAAAGGAAAGGCGCACAUUCUGCGGAACGUUGUUUCAAGCAACAAGUAAAAUUCUGACAAUUUUCGCGAGCUUUAUCGCCUUUGAAUCAUUCAACGUGCUUUAAAAUCGACUCUGUUUCCGGGAGUAAACGAGCAAAAAGGUAACUUACAAUAGAGAGAAGAGAAACGUGAAAGGUCUGUAGAAUCUUGAAAAUAAAUUUACCUGCUUCGGCAACACUGAAUAGGCGGUAUUGUCGCAAAAUCCAUUCUUCAAGCACACGUGUGUACGUAUAGCGUAUAUGCGUGUUUAUAUAUAUAUAUAUAGUUGGCUUUCUACUCUACGCAAUACUAGACACUCUGCUUUAUACCUUGCCUCGUAAUUAAUAAUUAACUUUCCAUUUUUCAUCCCGACUCCUUCCCCUUCGUUUUGGAGGAGGACAAAAGAACGUUGCGUUUCCUCGUAUAAAUAUUAAAACGGGGUAGCUUCGUUAACGGCACGAAACGCGUGGAGGGACAGUGUACGAAGAAAAUAGGUCGAUAUAAAUAAUGACAGGCACUGAAGCAGAAAAUUAAAAGCUAUUAUUCCAAGUGAUUCAGGGUAAAACAGUUCUCGGAACAUUUACCCGCAUAAUGGAUAACAGAUUCAUUCGCAAUAAAUCUGUAGAUGUGUAUUUUAAUUGGUACCACAGAGGAAGUGGUUAUUCGUUUUACGAUAUAAUAUUCCUUUUGCUACGAAAUUAAAUAAUUAAUGCGAGUAUAAAAGGAUAGUGCAAGUUUCGUAUGUGUAUGGUUAACAAGACAGUUCCAAACAAUUCUACGUUAUGUCGAUACAAUAAGCCGGAUAAUAGGUACACAGUAAACACAGGAUAGAAGUUUAGAAUAAUCGACGUACGACAGAUCGAUACGAUUCUUAUUCGCAUUCGUAUUGAUAAUAUUACAAUUCCUUGUUCAUCUUAGACGAAUAACAAUAGCUGGUGGCAGCUGUAAGAAAGAAUGACAGAAGUAUCGAGAAAAGAGCAGUAUGAUACUGUUGCCGUAAUAUUCAUAUUUUAUCGUAAUUUGUAGAACAUUCGUAUCAUAUGAAAUUUUCAAAUAUUU